rnacentral:lncRNA from 10 species
UUUUUUUCAAGACGGAGUCUCGCUCUGUCGCCCAGGCUAGAGUACAAUGGUGCGAUCUCAGCUCACUGAAACCUCCACCUCCUGGGUUCAUGCGAUUCUCAUGCCUCAGCCUCCCAAGUAGCUGGGAUCACAGGUGCCCACCACCACGCCCGGCUAAUUUUUGUAUUUUUAGUAGAGACGGGGUUUCACCAUAUUGGCCAGGCUGGUCUCGAACUCCUGACCUCAGGUGAUCCACCCACCUCGGCCUACCAAAGUGCUGGGAUUACAGGCGUGAGCCACCAUGCCCAGCCAGAUUCUUUGCAGUUUAACACGUUUCCAGAGAGUGUGUUCUAGGUCAGGCCCUGGUGCUGGAAGCAGGGACCCAUGAGGGCCAAGGCCUGGUCCUUGCCCUCAAAGGCUGACCCAGUUAUAGUCCAGGGUGGUGAGGGGCCAGCUGGGGCUGCUCAU